rnacentral:rRNA from 1 species
UGGGGAAUAUUGCGCAAUGGGCGAAAGCCUGACGCAGCGACGCCGCGUGAGGGAUGAAGGCUUCGGGUUGUAAACCUCUUUCAGCAGGGACGCUGUACCUGCAGAAGAAGCACCGGCUAACUACGUGCCAGCAGCCGCGGUAAUACGUAGGGUGCAAGCGUUGUCCGGAAUUAUUGGGCGUAAAGAGCUCGUAGGCGGUUUGUCGCGUCGGAUGUGAAAACUGGGGGCUCAACCCCAAGCCUGCAUUCGAUACGGGCAGACUAGAGUUCGGUAGGGGAGACUGGAAUUCCGGUGUAGCGGUGAAAUGCGCAGAUAUCAGGAGGAACACCGAUGGCGAAGGCAGGUCUCUGGGCCGACACUGACGCUGAGGAGCGAAAGCGUGGGGAGCAAACAGGAUUAGAUACCCCGGUAGU